AGAACGAACGCUGGCGGCAUGCCUAAUACAUGCAAGUCGAACGAACACUUCGGUGUUAGUGGCGCACGGGUGCGUAACGCGUGGGAAUCUGCCCUUGGGUUCGGAAUAACAGUUGGAAACGACUGCUAAUACCGGAUGAUAUCGAAAGAUCAAAGAUUUAUCGCCCAGGGAUGAGCCCGCGUAGGAUUAGCUAGUUGGUGAGGUAAAGGCUCACCAAGGCGACGAUCCUUAGCUGGUCUGAGAGGAUGAUCAGCCACACGUGGGACUGAGACACGGCCCAGACUCCGUACGGGAGCAGCAGGUAGGGAAUAGUUGGACAAGUGGGCGACAAGCCUGGAUCCAGUCAAUCGCCGCGUAGAGUGAUAGGAAGGUCCGUUAAGGGUUCGUAAAGUCC
rnacentral:rRNA from 1 species